rnacentral:rRNA from 1 species
CCUACGGGGGGCUGCAGUGGGGAAUAUUGCACAAUGGGGGAAACCCUGAUGCAGCAACGCCGCGUGAGCGAAGAAGGCCUUCGGGUCGUAAAGCUCUGUCCUAAGGGAGAAACAAGACGGUAACCUAAGAAGAAAGCCCCGCCUAACAACUGGCAAGCAGCGGGGGAAAUCGGUAGGGGCGGAGCGUUAUCCGGAAUCACUGGGCGUAAAGGGUGCGUAGGCGGCCAAUUAAGCCAGAGGUGAAAGGCUACGGCUCAACCGUAGUAAGCCUUUGGAACUGAAUGGCUUGAGUGCAGGAGAGGAGAGUGGAAUUCCUAGUGUAGCGGUGAAAUGCGUAGAUAUUAGGAGGAACACCAGUGGCGAAGGCGACUCUCUGGACUGUAACUGACGCUGAGGCACGAAAGCGUGGGGAGCAAACAGGAUUAGAUACCCCUGUAGUC